CUCGUGUGUUGACGACAAGUUAGACUUCGCCCUGCCAUUUGCUAGCCGCCAGGUUAGCUCAGAUGGUAGAGUGGCUGCCCCGGAAUGGCGGUGGUCCCGGGUUUGAGUCCCAGACCAGGACGAAUUUUUCUUCAACUGCGAGGCUUUUCUUUCGAGGAACCCGUAUGCGUUUCCUUUGUAGCAAAUGCAACGAUUGGGUGGAUGUCUGAUUUUCCCCUUUAUUUACUUCUCU
rnacentral:lncRNA from 1 species